AUUGAACGCUGGCGGCAGGCCUAACACAUGCAAGUCGAACGAGUGGCGGACGGGUGAGUAAUGUCUGUGAAACUGCCUAAUGGAGGGGGAUAACUACUGGAAACGGUAGCUAAUCCCGCAUACCAUCGGAUGUGCCCAGAUGGGAUUAGCUUGUAGGUGGGGUAAAGGCUCACCUAGGCGACGAUCCCUAGCUGUUCUGAGAGGAUGACCAGCCACACUGGAACUGAGACACGGUCAAGACUCUUACGGAAGGAAGCAGUGGGGAAUAUUGGAAAAUGGGGGAAAGCCGGAUGAAGCCAUGCCGCGUGUAGGAAGAAGGUCUUCGGGUUGUAAAGUACUUUCAGCGGGGAGGCGUUACCCGAAGAAGAAGCACCGGUUAACUCCGUGCCAGCAGCCGCGGUAAUAC
rnacentral:rRNA from 1 species